GACGAACGCUGGCGGCGUGCUUAACACAUGCAAGUCGAACGGAAAGGCCCUGCUUUUGUGGGGUGCUCGAGUGGCGAACGGGUGAGUAACACGUGAGUAACCUGCCCUUGACUUUGGGAUAACUUCAGGAAACUGGGGCUAAUACCGGAUAGGAGCUCCUGCUGCAUGGUGGGGGUUGGAAAGUUUCGGCGGUUGGGGAUGGACUCGCGGCUUAUCAGCUUGUUGGUGGGGUAGUGGCUUACCAAGGCUUUGACGGGUAGCCGGCCUGAGAGGGUGACCGGCCACAUUGGGACUGAGAUACGGCCCAGACUCCUACGGGAGGCAGAAGCGGGGAAUAUUGCACAAUGGGCGGAAGCCUGAUGCAGCAACGCCGCGUGCGGGAUGACGGCCUUCGGGUUGUAAACCGCUUUCGCCUGUGACGAAGCGUGAGUGACGGUAAUGGGUAAAGAAGCACCGGCUAACUACGUG
rnacentral:rRNA from 1 species